rnacentral:rRNA from 1 species
UACGUAGGGACCAAGCGUUAGGCGGAAUCACUGGGCUUAAAGCGUGUGUAGGCGGAUCGUUAAGUACCUUGUGAAAUCCCACGGCUCAACCGUGGAACUGCUGGGUAUACUGGCGAUCUUGAGCCACCUAGGGGCGAGCGGAACAAGCGGUGGAGCGGUGAAAUGCGUAGAUAUCGCUUGGAACGCCGACGGUGAAAACAGCUCGCUGGGGGUGUGCUGACGCUGAGACACGAAAGCCAGGGGAGCGAACGGG